GAAGAUGUAGCACAAAUGGUUAAAGUUUUGUUUAGCAUGCGAGAGGUCAUGGGUUCGAUCCCCCACGUCUCCA